rnacentral:rRNA from 1 species
UACGAAGGGGGCUAGCGUUGCUCGGAAUCACUGGGCGUAAAGCGCACGUAGGCGGCUUGUUAAGUCAGGGGUGAAAUCCUGGAGCUCAACUCCAGAACUGCCUUUGAUACUGGGGAUCUCGAGUCCGGGAGAGGUGAGUGGAACUCCGAGUGUAGAGGUGAAAUUCGUAGAUAUUCGGAAGAACACCAGUGGCGAAGGCGGCUCACUGGCCCGGUACUGACGCUGAGGUGCGAAAGCGUGGGGAGCAAACAGG